UCCCGUUUAACACGGGCAGUCUCUUAUGAAAGAUAUAACAUAAGACAAGGGUUGCGCUCGUUCGCGGACCUAACCGAACACCUCAAGGCACGAGCUGACGACAACCAUGCAGCGCCUGUCACUAAGUUCCUUGCGGCACUCCACCGUUUCCGGCGGAUUCUUAGGAUGUCAAGCCUUGGUAAGGUUCCUCGUUUUGUGUCGAAUUAAACAACAUGCUCCACCGCUUGUGUGGGUCCCCGUCUAUUCCUUUGAGUUUUAAUCUUGCGACCGUACUUCCCAGGCGGAAUACUUAACGCGUUAGCUAAGACACUGGUGGGAUCGAUCCACCAACAUCGAGUAUUCAUCGUUUACGGCGUGGACUAC
rnacentral:misc_RNA from 1 species